AGGUAUCGAUUUGAGUCCCGUGAGGAAGAUACUCGAAGGACGUUGGUCAUCUUAGAUGUUGAGGGUGAGGGAGGUUUUGAAGAGAAAGCCUGUUGUUUAAUUUCUUACCUCCUACCUCUAGGUUUUCCAGUACGAAAUAUUGGAAACAAAACAGCUGGACACGUAAUAGAAACUUUGAAGAACAAAAGGAAGUAAGAAUCAGUUUUGACUUUGUUGCCGCUGCUACAGGACCAACCUGAGUGAUCUGGCAGCACUUUGCAAUCCUCUCCUUCCAAACAAGGAUUCAUGUGACACCACCAUUUCUGAAUCACAACGGAAGCUGGAAGACAAAGCCAAAUAAUAUUUGGGACAUUGUUUCUUCCUCCAAAUACAGGUUAUAGUGGUGGACGCGGAUACCGCGGUUGUUUCAUACUCUUUGUUUUCAACAGCACAGACUAAGAACAGUCAACAUUUUCAGCACACAGGGUGCCUCAUCUCUCCACGCCAUUCCAGCAAG